UCUUCCGUAGUAUAGUGGUCAGUAUGUGAGCUUGUCAUCACCGGCAUCGCUCGAGACCCGGGUUCAAUUCCCGGCGGGAGAG